rnacentral:piRNA from 1 species
UGAGCUGUAACACUCACCACGAAUGUCUGC